rnacentral:misc_RNA from 1 species
UUGAUUUUAGUUAUUUGUGAACGUACUACGAACAAACCAAAAAAAUAUUAUAGUCAAAAAAAAUUAAAUCAAAACUUUUACAAUGGAUCUCUUGGUUCUCGUAUCGAUGAAGAACGCAGCGAAACGCGAUAUUUCUUGUGAAUUGCAGAAGUGAAUCAUCAGUUUUUGAACGCACAUUGCACUUUGGGGUAUCCCCCAAAGUAUACUUGUUUGAGCGUUGUUUCUCUCUUGGAAUUGCAUUUGCUUUCUAAAAAAUCGAAUCAAAUUCGUUUGAAACUUCAUUUAUUUCAACCUCAGAUCAAGUAGGAUUACCCGCUGAACUUAAGCAUAUCAAUAAGCGGAGGAAUCGUAGCCUUGGUCAUUUAGAGGAAGUAAAAGUCGUAACAAGGUUUCCGUAGGUGAACCUGCGGAAGGAUCACUAGUGAUUAAGUCGAGCGUGUCUUCAUUGACCGCUCACCCUUCUCACCAUCCACAUACACCUGUGCACUGUUUAGCCUGAGCCGGUUUUCCGGUCCAGGUUAUCAUUUCAUACAAACUCUAGUCUUAUGAAUGUAAACGUUUUAAUAACAUAAUG